rnacentral:rRNA from 1 species
UACGUAGGGUGCGAGCGUUAAUCGGAAUUACUGGGCGUAAAGGGUGCGCAGGCGGCGUCGCAAGUCAGGCGUGAAAUCCCCGGGCUUAACCUGGGAACUGCACUUGAAACUACGAUGCUGGAGUAUGGCAGAGGGAGGUGGAAUUCCACGUGUAGCGGUGAAAUGCGUAGAGAUGUGGAGGAACACCGAUGGCGAAGGCAGCCCCCUGGGCCAAUACUGACGCUCAUGCACGAAAGCGUGGGGAGCAAACAGG